AAUAUUGGACCAUGGGGGCAACCCUGAUCCAGCCAUGCCGCGUGAGCGAUGAAGGCCUUCGGGUUGUAACGCACUUUUGGUGGGGAAGAAAAGGCGCUGGUUAAUACCUGGCGCCGCUGACGGUACCUGCAUAAUAAGCACCGCCUGCCUACGUGCCCGGAGCCGCGGUAAUACGUAGGGUGCAAGCGUUAAUCGGAAUUACUGGGCGUAAAGCGUGCGCAGGCGGUGCGGAAAGAAGGAUGUGAAAUCCCGGGGCUUAACCUCGGAACUGCAUUCUUAACUGCCGGGCUAGAGUAUGUCAGAGGGGGGUAGAAUUCCACGUGUAGCAGUGAAAUGCGUAGAGAUGUGGAGGAAUACCGAUGGCGAAGGCAGCCCCCUGGGAUAAUACUGACGCUCAUGCACGAAAGCGUGGGGAGCAAACAG
rnacentral:rRNA from 1 species